UUCUAGCGGACCUGGGUUGAAGUCCCAGCA
rnacentral:piRNA from 1 species